CUGAACGAGUUUAGUCAAGCUUCGCCGGUUUUAACUACACACUAGUUAUUCUUUCGUCUUCUACAUUGCUAUUGCAAAUUCACAAGAUGAUGAUGAAGACUUUACUCUGGCUCGUGAUCACAGUUUUCGCCGUAUCGCAGAUGGCGCAGUGUAACGACGAAGUUGAAGCAGAAGAAGUGACCACCACCAAACGUUCCAGAGGUGGUAGGCGGAGGGGAGGACGUCAGCUGUGGUAGUAAGCUACGCACAUCACUCACAGUUAAAGUUAAAAAUAUUUUGAAAUAAAGUAUUAUUUAUGCAGAACAAAAUA